UGAUGCAUGUGAUUGUCUUAAAUGCCUGACCAGGCUAAUUUCACAAUGUGUCAGUCACUAAAAUCACACUUCUUGUUUCUCUGCACAGCUACGACAGUAAAUUGACUCACUGUACAAGACCUCCCCCCUUCACUCUACUGCAGGGUGGGAGAUGCAACAAUGUCCUUGAGAACAGCAGGAAGUGUGUUGGGGGUCUUUCUCUGGUCUGUAGCAGUGGUACUGGGUCAGGAUGGCUGGAGUGUGACUUACACCACUCAGAGUAUCUGUACCUUGAAGGGGUCAACAGUGGAGCUGACCUGCUCUUAUACAUAUCCCAGAGGUAAAGUCACAACAACACUCUGGUUCACUAAAAUGGAGGCUGGUAUAUGAACCUGAAGAUAUAGGUCAGGACCCAGAGUAUUCAGGUCAUCUGGAGUAUCAUGGAGAUAAGAAGAAAGACUGUACCCUGAGAAUC